ACUGGGAUAACUUCGGGAAACCGGAGCUAAUACCGGAUAAUACUUUUUGAACACAUGUUCGAAAGUUGAAAGAUGGUUUCGGCUAUCACUAUAGGAUGGACCCGCGGCGCAUUAGCUAGUUGGUGGGGUAAUGGCUCACCAAGGCAACGAUGCGUAGCCGACCUGAGAGGGUGAUCGGCCACACUGGGACUGAGACACGGCCCAGACUCCUACGGGAGGCAGCAGUAGGGAAUCUUCCACAAUGGACGAAAGGCUGAUGGAGCAACGCCGCGUUGAGUGAAGAAGGAUUUUGGUUCGUAAAACUCUGUUGCAAGGGAAGAACAAGUAGCGUAGUAACUGGCGCUACCUUGACGGUACCUUGUUAGAAAGCCACGGCUAACUACGUGCCAGCCGCAGC
rnacentral:rRNA from 1 species